GGACAGGUAGAGUAAGAUGCCAUCUAAAACUGGUGAAUAUUUGCGUAGUUAAACAACGCAGUGGAAAGCCCCGCCCACCAGCGUCUUGUCUCGAGCAGAAUUUUCACUGCGCCAUUUUUCUUCACCUGAAGGAACUGCCACCUUCCAACGGUCAGGGAUGAGCGCUCUCCUCUUAUGGCUGUAUCAUGAACACGCUCAAUUAGCAUCGCAUGACAGAAUUUCCUGUCCUGGAUGUUCGAACCUGUGUGUGAGUUAAAGAGCAGCCGGCAGGUGGCAGUGUUUACGUGAUGAACAGUCUAAGAAUAGCUGCUGACCACUGGACCAGUUCUCCUCCCUGAACUUCCCUCUGCUCUCCACUGUGUUCCAUUCUUGCAUUUGUACCUAUGUACUAUAUUUUGUCUCUCUUGUUCAUCUUUACUAUUUAUAUUCAUUACCUACCUGCACUCAGUUUUCAGAAGUGCAUCCACAGCACUCUUCACACAUCUUUCGUCAGUUAAACUAAAGUUGAGCGUGAUAUAUUUUUUCCUUUUGUGAGCACCAACAAAACUAAUUCCUGACACUAAUUUCUAGUAAUGGUUCUUGGUAUAAACUGUGUUUUUGCAGAGGAAUUAAGCGAGAAAUCAGUCCAGUCCAGCCAUACACAGGGCCAGGGAGUUCAGUCAGGUCAGGCCAUACAAGUCACUAUGUGAUGCUCAUUCUCUUCCUGUCCUAGUCUCUGCUCAUUCAGUGCUGCUCAGUUCAGGGAAGGGAAGGAAAUACCAAUUUGGCAGCGCUACAGGGAUUACAGUGGUAGUGGGCAUUUUUAAUCUGGGACAGACUGUGGCACUUAAAACUGUCAUCAGUCCUGUCCCAUCUAUCGGCUUGUCACCCCGUCCCAUCCUGUUAAGAAAAAAAAAACAUGAAACACUGCUGGAGCUGAUUAGACUCUUCGAAAUAAAUAAAUAAAAUAAAUGAACUGCAACCUAAAUCUCACAGCAAGGGGUUUACGUAGCCAGAGCCCCCAUUACUGGUACUCUACCCCCUGGGAAGAGUUUAGUGUCAACAGACUCCUUCUGCAGGGGAGGAGGAGGGUCUCCAUCAUAGACAUUAAAUGAAAUGUCUAAAUGAAGGAAGAGUAUUUUGAUAUAAACAAAUAAUGUGUAGAGAAUUAAGGGUCAGACCUGUGCACCUCUAAUGGCCUCAAACCCAACGUUAUACAAAGAGUGUGAGGGGACAUAUGCUUCUGCACACGCACAAACAGAGCAGCACACAUGCAAAACGGCAUAUGCUUAAUCACCAGUGGCGUUUCCCAGGAAAUAAAAAAGCCUCUGUGGAUUAAAUCCUUCGAGCUGAACAUUAGAGAAGUGCAGAGUUCAGCUCUUACAGAAAAAAGGCAAAUCAUUAUCUUCCAGAGAGAGAGGGGAAGAAUCAGAGGUUGAAGGCGGCAGACUGUGAUACUGAGGAAGAAAAGGCGUCACGUUGCGAGUAAGACAGACUGAUAAAAGAACGAAGCCAUCGACGGAGGAAGAGAGAAAGGGCCCCACAAAUUGGCAAAGGGAAGUCUGGGUCUGUGCUUUGCAUUUCAUUUACAUGGCUGGCCGUAUCGACCAAUCGGAUUGGGAGCGGAGCCCGUGGCUUAGGAAGGCGAAUAAAGACUCCAAAUGCCUUCACUGCUCUCAUCCCUCUCUCUCAUAAUACCCUGUCUGCCCUUCUUUUCUCUCGCUCCCUCUCUUUUCUCUCCUCACUGUCAUAAUACCCUUUCUCUCCCCAUUCUCUACUCUCUGGCGCGGUGCUAUAAGUAGACCCUGUCCGAUGUGAUAGUGGGAUGAGGAGAGGGGAGAGAGGAGAGGAGAGGUGAGGAGAAGGAGGAGGAGGAGGAGGACGGGAGUUUGCAGGGAUGACUUUUGCUGCCACCCACUAAAAGUAAAAAAAAAAAUUUAAAAAAAAAAGCGAGAUUGUGCAUGUGUGUGUGUUUGCAUAAUGUGGGUAUUUGUGGUCGCAUGUGCACACGUGUAGUGUUUUUUUCCCCCCCAGAUAUAAACCAGACACAAGCAGAAGCACUUUCAUCCGAUGUUUUUUGUUGUUUUUGUUGUUGUUGUUUGGGGAAGGGUUCCUGUUUUGCUCACCUGCAUGACACACACAGUGUAACACCAGCAGAACAUUUUGUUAUCCUGACAAAUCCAUUGCCACAGAGCACAUGAAAACACACACACCUACCCAUAGAAGACAUAAUACAUGCUAAUUAAUUUAUAAAUGCUCUAUAAUUAAUGGUAAUAAUGUCAGUGUAAUUACAUAUUACACACAGUAGAUGAUGAUUAAGACUGAUAGCUAUCAUUUGACUUUUUUGAUGUACGGUCGAUGGUGCAUUUCCUCAGUGAAAUGUAGUGGUACACACACACACUCACACACAAUGAUACACUUCCCCUUGAAUUCAUUUGAAUAAUGGCAUGUAGACAGACACAUUAGAAAAACCCAUGAAUGACCCCGGGCAUUUCUCACAGGAGACAUGCAACCACUUAACGCUUAAGCACACAACCACACACACACUCACACACACACACACACACACACACACAGACCUUGAGGGUAUAAUUUUGUGCCAUAUUAUGAGUUAAUAGUUUACCUUCCAUCCAUGCAAGAGAGGCCUCUUUCUGCGAGUCAAAUGAAAGUUUUGGGAAAAGAGGUGGAUGAGACAGGAAGUUAUUCACUUCUGUCAUAGAUAAUAACUGUAUCCGCCACAUUAGUGCAGCAUAUUUAGAUGUUCCCUUUGUGAAACGGUGGUUUUGUUAUCUUUUACUUUGGUUAAAGUAGCAAUAUCUCAGUGUUCAAAUACUCCAUCACAAGUAAAAAUCCUGUAUUCAUAAUUUUAGUUAAGUAGAAGUACAGAAGUAUUGUUAGCACUAUGUACUAGAAUAACCAGUGUCAGUGUGUUUACAUUAUAUCCUUAUAGAUUCUGGAGCUACAGAAUGCUUAUGAUAAUACCAUCUAUGCCCUUUCAGAAGAAGAUCUGUAGUGUAUCCUUGAUGCAUUUGUUUAGGCUCCUGGGACUGACCCUGAACCUCAGGAAGACACAACUUUUCCAUCAGCUGCCACCCGAAAUCACAACUUCUCCACCUGCAAUACACAUUGACAAUACCAAUUGCGAAAGUGUGGAUCACUUUGCUUACCUUGGCAGCCUCCUUUCCAUCAGAGCUGACAUCGACCAAGAAAUACAUCAUCAUAUCAGCUGUGCUAGCGGGACCUUUGUAAAACUCAGGAGAACACAUACAAGUGAGGACAAAACUGCUUGUUCACAAGACAGUUGUUCUUUCCGCUCUACUGUAUGCAGCAGAAACAUGGACCACCUACAGAAAACACAUCAAAGCCCUGAAGUCCUACCACCAUGUCUCCAAAAAAACAGCUGGAAAGACAAACACAGAAGCAUCAGUGUCAGUCUAUAUGACCCUUAGUCAUUAAACUGGACAUUGAUCAUUAACAUCACUGCAGUACUUGAAAUAAUUGUGCAAUAUUC